GCUCGGUUGUGUAGUGUUAUCACGCGUCCCUGGUAUGGAUGAAACACGAGUUCGACUCCCAUCCGAGGUCG